rnacentral:lncRNA from 1 species
CAAAAUAAAGCGUUUAUUCCAGAAUUGCAAGGAAUUGCAAUUUGAGAUAUGCAUGCUAUAGUGGACUAUAGGCACAUUAAAAGAGGUUGUGGCAACGAGAAAAGACAAAGUCCACAUAAGCUUCUUUAAAACAAGUACCGUUGAUCACAGGAGCCUGUUGCAGGAGUUGGCUUUAGCUUAUUGUGGAGACACCCACUGUUAGGCAAAUAUUCUUAUGCAAGUGGUUUAUCUAUAAUACUGCGGAUUUUAGGAACUUCUUGAGAUAAUUUUUGUGACAGGCAUUUGUUAGGGUUUGACAUAAGUGACUCCAUUUUGAUACUGAUAAUUUCCAAAAAGUCCUUACUCCCAAGGUGAUGGUAUUAGGAGGUGGGACCUCUGGGAAGUAAUUAGUGAAAGGGUCUUGUGUUGGUUCGAACCCCAAGAGCGUGGCCAACAGACAACAUGAGGCAGUGUGUGUGCAGGUGGGCUGAGGCUUAAAAUGGCGUCAGCACCAAAUGAGGACGGGGCAGGGGUUUUGUAGUCUCCUGUAAACAGGAAGUUUCUCAGUCUGUUGUAACCGCUACAUUGUACCCGGAUGACGUCUCUCUCGGUCUUCAGGGGGUAGGUGUCUUCUGGCCCGCUCUCUUCCCGCUUCUGCUAUCUUGCUGACACAUGCUGCUGGCGCGAGUGGCCUUGCGCCUUGGGACCGGGCCCAAGGAGGGAGGGGAGGGAGGGGUCAUUCAUUCUCUUAAGCUUUCAGGCCCCACGGAGAAUCUUUCAAUUACAUAAUGGGUCCUGAGCCCUCAUGAACUGGAUCAAUGCCUUCAUAAAAGAGACCCCAGAGGCUGUUGAUAACCAAUUGCAGUGUGCAUUUUCUAUGCUAUGGUAGGAGAGUAGCCCACCAGAAAACUAGGCAAAACAGGGGGGCAAAAGGAAACUUUUUAUUGCUUGGAGUAAACCUGAUCACAUGACGUCCUUUGAUAAUAAAGAUGCUAUUACUUUCCUACAGUUUCCUGACUAUUAUGUACUGUUUGUGUAUGGGUUUUAGGAGUUGAGGCGAUUUAUUCCCAACUUGCUAUAGCAAAGGAACCAGCCACCCAUCUCUCGCUUUUGACAGAGAUUUAAAGACAGGCAGGAAAAUGGGAAGGCUUCAGGGAUGCCGUGAUUGAGGCUGUUGGUAUGGGGAAGCUGGAAGUGCACUCACCAGAAGUGGGGCUAACCAUGUGAUUGGUCUGGGGAGCUUAUUUGGGUUUCUUGGGUUGGUCAUAAAUAGGAAGCAGGAUGGGAGUAGGGUGGGGAGUUAGAGAUGCUGCCAGUUAUCGCCCAAGUCCUGAUGGUUUGGGGUUGAUUGCUGCAGAAGGCUGUGGGUCCGAAUUCUGUUGCUGUGCGUCAUGUGACCACACUAUUUAUUUGUAUAUUUAGUCCUCACACCCCUCCUCAUCCUCCCCCUGGCAGGGCUGGGAUAAUCCUUUUUUUAAACGGAUUUACUUAUUUUUAUGUUUUAGUUUUUAGACACAGGGUCUUGCUCUGUGGCCUGGGCAGGAGUGUAGCGGUGUGAUCACAGCUCACUGCAGCUUCAGCCUCCUGGGCUCAAGUGAUUCUUCUGCCUCAGCUUCUUGAGUGCCUGAGACUACAAAUGUGCACAACCACACCCAGUGAAUUAUUUUUUUAUUUUGUAGAGACGGGGUCUCCCUGUGAUACCCAGGCUGGUCUUGAACUCCUCGGCUCAAGCGCUCCUCCCACCUCGGC